rnacentral:rRNA from 1 species
GACAGAGGGGGCAAGCGUUGCUCGGAAUCACUGGGCGUAAAGGGCGCGUAGGCGGCCACCGCAAGUCGACUGUGAAAUCUCCGGGCUUAACCCGGAAAGGUCAGCCGAUACUGCGGGGCUAGAGUGCAGAAGGGGCAACUGGAAUUCUCGGUGUAGCGGUGAAAUGCGUAGAUAUCGAGAGGAACACCUGCGGUGAAGGCGGGUUGCUGGGCUGACACUGACGCUGAUGUGCGAAAGCUAGGGGAGCGAACGGG